rnacentral:lncRNA from 1 species
GGUUCCUAUUCUACCCCUGUCGCAGCCGCACGUGCCUACGACACCGCCGUCUUUUACCUUCGAGGACCCUCCGCGCGUCUUAACUUCCCGGAGCUUCUCAUCGGAGAAGGCGCCGCCGCCCUCACCGGCGGCUGUGACAUGUCAGCAGCUUCUAUUAGGAAGAAGGCCUCCGAGGUCGGUGCUAGAGUCGAUGCUCUUCAGGCAACCCUUCACCACCAUCACCACCAUGUUGUGCCACCACGGCAGCUUCUCUCUGCCAGCUGUGGCGGUGGGUCCGGUGAUUUUGCAGUGCGGGUUGUUGACCUGAAUAAGAUGCCCG